GGGGCUGUGGCGCAGCUGGUAGCGCAUCUGCUUUGCAAGCAGAGGGUCAGGGGUUCGAGUCCCCUCAGCUCCACCA
rnacentral:tRNA from 1 species